AUAAAGGCAUUUUGUUUCAUUCUCCACAAAACAAGUCGUACACCACUCGCGCUACAGUACAUAGGGAACGCUAAACUCGCUUUAAUCCUGGUGGUGUGUAAGGAGUAGUACGGAUAUAUUUGACACCUAGGGAAUCCGUUAAAGGAAAGCAUUACAUUAUUCAAGGAAGGUUCCGUAACUAAGCCGUUCAAGGUCACAGAGUACUAACAAGAGGAUUCCAUUACUGUCACCAUCAUGGGAUACACGGAACGGCUGAUAGCCUGUUUCAUCAUUCUCACGUGUGCUUCAACAGUUCGAGCACAGUGUUCCGGGUCACCCACGGAUAUCACUAUAUCAACCUAUGAAAUAGGUUCAUUUACGUAUCCAAGCAGCGGGUUGUACACACAGUAAGUAGAGGGCGUCUCAGAAAGUUUCCUUAUA